GUGCCAGCAGCCGCGGUAAUACGGAGGGUGCAAGCGUUGUCCGGAAUCACUGGGCGUAAAGGGUGCGCAGGCGGGGCAGCAAGUCGGAGGUGAAAGCCCACGGCUCAACCGUGGAAGUGCCUUCGAAACUGCUGCUCUUGAGUCCCGGAGAGGUUGCCGGAAUUCGUGGCGUAGCGGUGAGAUGCGUAGAUAUCACGAGGAACACCAGAGGCGAAAGCGGGCAACUGGACGGGUACGGACGCUCAGGCACGAAAGCGCGGGGAGCAAACAGGAUUAGAAACCUAGUAUCC
rnacentral:rRNA from 1 species